rnacentral:rRNA from 1 species
UACGUAGGGUGCGAGCGUUGCCCGGAUUUAUUGGGCGUAAAGGGCGCGCAGGCGGCCACGCACGUCCGUUGUGAAAUCGCCCGGCUCAACUGGGCGGGGUCAGCGGAUACGGCGCGGCUGGAGCAAGCUAGGGGGCAAUGGAACUCCCGGUGUAGUGGUGGAAUGCGUAGAUAUCGGGAAGAACACCAGUGGCGAAGGCGGUUGCCUGGAGCUUUGCUGACGCUGAGGCGCGAAAGCGUGGGGAGCGAGUCCGG